GACAGAGGUGGCAAGCGUUACCCGGAUUUAUUGGGUUUAAAGGGUGCGUAGGCGGCACUUUAAGUCAGGGGUGAAAGACGGCAGCUCAACUGUCGCAGUGCCCUUGAUACUGAAGUGCUUGAAUGCGGUUGAAGACGGCGGAAUGAGACAAGUAGCGGUGAAAUGCAUAGAUAUGUCUCAGAACACCGAUUGCGAAGGCAGCUGUCUAAGCCGUUAUUGACGCUGAUGCACGAAAGCGUGGGGAUCGAACAGG
rnacentral:rRNA from 1 species